UCAAGUUAUUAAGGGUGCAGGGCGGAUGCCUUGGCACUAGGAGCCGAUGAAGGACGUGAUAAGCUGCGAUAAGCUUCGGGGAGUUGCACGUAAACUUUGAUCCGAAGAUUUCCGAAUGAGGAAACUCACUUAGAGUAAUGUCUAAGUAUCAUUAAGUGAAUACAUAGCUUAAUGAGGGGAACUCAGGGAACUGAAACAUCUAAGUACCUGAAGGAAGAGAAAGAAAUUCGAUUCCGUAAGUAGCGGCGAGCGAACGCGGAUUAGCCCAAACCAAUAAAGUUUUCUUUAUUGGGGUUGCGGACAUAUCAUAACGAAGAGGUAUCGUAAUUGAAGAGGUUUGGAAAGACCCACCACAGAAGGUAAUAGUCCUGUAUGUUAAACGAGAAGACUUUAGAUAUGAUCCAGAGUACCACGGGACACGUGAAACCCUGUGGGAAGCAGGAGGGACCACCCUCCAAGGCUAAAUACUACCUAGUGACCGAUAGCGUAUAGUACCGUGAGGGAAAGGUGAAAAGAACCCCGGGAGGGGAGUGAAAUAGAACCUGAAACCCUGCACUUACAAGCUGUGGAAGCACAUUUCUUGUGUGACCGCGUACUUUUUGUAGAACGGGCCAACGAGUUACGUUAAGUAGCAAGGUUAAGCACUUAAGGUGUGGAGCCGUAGCGAAAGCGAGUUUUAACUGAGCGUUCAGUUACUUGACGUAGACCCGAAACCGGGCGACCUACCCAUGAGCAGGAUGAAGCGAAAGUAAAAUUUCGUGGAGGUCCGAACCCACGAGCGUUGAAAAGCUCGGGGAUGACUUGUGGGUAGCGGUGAAAUUCCAAUCGAGCCCGGAGAUAGCUGGUUCUCCCCGAAAUAGCUUUAGGGCUAGCCUCAAGGUGAGAGAUACGGAGGUAGAGCACUGAAUGUCCUAGGGGGUAUUGCACCUACCGAAGACUAUCAAACUCCGAAUGCCGUCAUCUUAUACUUGGGAGUCAGACUGUGGGUGAUAAGAUUCAUAGUCGAAAGGGCAACAGCCCAGAUCGUCAGCUAAGGUCCCUAAAUGUAAGUUAAGUGGUAAAGGAUGUGGGAUUGCACAGACAACCAGGAUGUUGGCUUAGAAGCAGCCACUCAUUCAAAGAGUGCGUAAUAGCUCACUGGUCGAGUGAUCCUGCGCCGAAGAUUUCCGGGGCUAAAACUUACUACCGAAGCUACGGCAUCAGUAAUGAUGGGUAGGGGAGCUUCCCAUACGGGUUGAAGCAUGACCGUAAGGACAUGUGGACAGUAUGGGAGUGAGAAUGUUGGCAUGAGUAGCGAGAUGUGGGUGAGAAUCCCACAGGCCGUAAACCCAAGGUUUCCAGGGGAAGGUUCGUCCGCCCUGGGUUAGUCGGGACCUAAGCUGAGGCCGAAAGGCGUAGGUGAUGGACAACAGGUUGAUAUUCCUGUACUACCGAUAACCGUUUGAGAGAAGGGAUGACACAGUAGGAUAAGCUAAGCACACUGUUGGUUAUGUGUGCCCAAGCAUUGAGGCAGUCAAAGUAGGCAAAUCCGCUUUGAUAAUGCUGGGAUGUGAUGGGGAGCGAAAUUUAGUAGCGAAGUAGCUGAUUUCACACUGUCAAGAAAAGUCUCUAUCGAGGUUAAAGGUACCCGUACCGCAAACCGACACAGGUGGGUGAGGAGAGUAUCCUAAGGCCAGCGAGAGAACUGUUGUUAAGGAACUCGGCAAAAUGACCCCGUAACUUAGGGAUAAGGGGUGCCACCAUCAGGUGGCCGCAGAGAAUAGGCCCAAGCGACUGUUUACCAAAAACAUAGGUUUCUGCUAAGUCGCAAGACGAUGUAUAGGAGCUGACGCCUGCCCGGUGCUGGAAGGUUAAGGGGAUCUGUUAGAGCAAUCGAAGCAGUGAACUUAAGCCCCAGUAAACGGCGGCCGUAACUAUAACGGUCCUAAGGUAGCGAAAUUCCUUGUCGGGUAAGUUCCGACCCGCACGAAAGGCGUAACGAUUUGGGCACUGUCUCAACAACAGACUCGGUGAAAUUGUAAUUCCGGUGAAGAUGCCGGAUACCUGCGACAGGACGGAAAGACCCCAUGGAGCUUUACUGUAGCUUGACAUUGGGUCUUGGUACUACAUGUACAGGAUAGGUGGGAGGCUUUGAAACCAGGACGCCAGUUUUGGCGGAGCCAUCCUUGGGAUACCACCCUUGUAGUACUGGGACUCUAACCAUAGGCCAUGAAUCUGGUCUUGGGACACUGUCAGGUGGGCAGUUUGACUGGGGCGGUCGCCUCCCAAAAGGUAACGGAGGCGCUCAAAGGUUCUCUCAGUACGGUCGGAAAUCGUACGUAGAGUGUAAAGGCAAAAGAGAGCUUGAUUGCAAGACAUACAGGUCGAGCAAGGAUGAAAAUCGGACUUAGUGAUCCGGUGGUUCUGCGUGGAAGGGCCAUCGCUCAACGGAUAAAAGCUACCCUGGGGAUAACAGGCUUAUCUCCCCCAAGAGUCCACAUCGACGGGGAGGUUUGGCACCUCGAUGUCGGCUCAUCACAUCCUGGGGCUGUAGUAGGUCCCAAGGGUUGGGCUGUUCGCCCAUUAAAGUGGUACGCGAGCUGGGUUCAGAACGUCGUGAGACAGUUCGGUCCCUAUCCGUCGCAGGCGUAGGAAAUUUGAGAAGACCUGUCCUUAGUACGAGAGGACCGGGAUGGACGUACCUCUGGUGUACCAGUUGUCCUGCCAAGGGCAUGGCUGGGUAGCUAUGUACGGAAUGGAUAAGCGCUGAAAGCAUCUAAGCGCGAAGCCAACUUCAAGAUAAGAUUUCCCACCGCAAGGGUAAGACCCCAGAAAGACUAUCUGGUUGAUAGGUCGAAGGUGUAAGUGCAGCA
rnacentral:rRNA from 1 species